rnacentral:miRNA from 1 species
UCUCUCUCUCUCUCUCUCUCUCUCUCUCUCUCAUAUAUAUAUAUAUAUAUAUAUAUAUAUAUAUGAGAGAGAGAGAGAGAGAGAGAGAGAGAGAGAGA